ensembl:lncRNA
AGGAGCUGCGGGAAAGCACCUAGAGGAGCAACUCAGAGGGGAUCUGUGAAAGAGCCAGAGCUGCUGCACAGCAGAGAAUCCCCGGAGCCACUUCCAAAGGGAGGCGUGAGAAAGAGCUCGGUGCCAAACAUCCCAUCCUCUGCUCCUUCCCGGAGCUCAGCCACACGCGGGCACCAGUUCCCCGGCACCAGAACCUCACUGGCAGCGGGGCCGGGCCCGUCCCUGCCCUGCCCUGCCCGUGAGCUCUGCGAGGUGCAGGGCCGUCCUCGGGAGCCCCGCACGCUGCCAGCACCGCCGCACCUUUGUUUGGGCCCGGGGAGACUAUGUGAAUGGAAUCAGAAGCAGAGGAUGGGGAGGAUGCCUGCACUGUGCAGCGGAAUGUGGGAGAGCACACGAUUGCCGUGGAAACCAGCUAUAGUAAAUGGAGCUCUUCAGCUGCAGGGGAGGAUUUAUACCACCAGGCUGGGAGCAGGCAAUUUAAAUCAGCCAUCCGCAGGUAAAUUGGCACAUUUCUCUGCACAUCAUUGUCUCCGUGCACUGCGAAAGGGAAAAAGGAGGGUAGGUGGUAGGGGAGAAAUGCAGGAUUAUGAAGUUAGAAAAACCCACAGGAGCUGAUGCAAAGAUUCUCGUGGUUUGGGUAGGGGCUGGUCCUGGCACACAAGGAGCGGGCGUGUAUUCCCUGUGCACUGAAGAAGAGCAAUAGGUGCAAGGAUGCUGCAAACCUGUGUCUCGGUUUCAGACACUGCAUACCUGUCUGAUCCUGAGGGCAAUGGUUAAACACAGCUUACCCGGAUCCACCAUGGGGCCGGGGGCUCACCAGCUGCCACAGAACUGCACAGACGUAAGGAAUUUGCCUUAUUGCCAUCUCUAGUAAUGACGCUCCGAAACUCCUAACUCACUGGGUUUGGGGUGAUUGGAUUUAAGUUUGCAGCUCAGUAUGCAGCCAGGUGUAUUUGUAUCAUUAAACGUAAUGUAUCAAAGACUGUACGCUCUGUCAUUGUGCUUCACUGUGCUUUUUGUUCUCGAGUUACUUCGUUCUGCUUCAGCCUUCCAGCAAAGCAUCAAAGAGCCCCCGAGAACAGCAAGAUUCCAGCCUCCUCCUUCAGGAGAAGUUUGAUGCUGAAAACCCCGGCGGUCCAACCAAAAUACAAAGCCAGGAUCUGGGUCCUCCCGUCCCACAUUUGUCGCUGCUGUGUCUUUGUGAGAGUGUUGCCCACGCAGCAGACGCUGCCCAACGAGAGCUCCUGUUUCCCUUUGCAGUUUUCUCUCUCCAGUGCUGUCCCCGUUGUACAACCGCUGCCAUGCAGCAGAGCUGAUCUGCAGUCCUGGUAGGGAUCCCAUGACAGUGGACUGCAGGAAGCUGCAGUCUGUAGGCUGUGCAGCCUGGUAGAGAGGUGGUAAGUUUUUAGAGACCUAACCACGUGAACAGACAUUAAUAUUCAUUCAAUCCCUUAGGCCACAUGGGCUGCUAAUCACAUCGCGUGAUCGAUACCACGAGUGGCACGUCAACCACAACGCUGAGAUUUGCCAGCCUGGGAAAAAUAUCAAACAUCAAGAGAUAGAACUCAUCGAUACGUCAAAUAGAAAGAGUGACUUUACAGGUGACAGAGCCAGA